CAGUAGCCGCGGUAAUACGUAGGGUGCGAGCGUUAAUCGGAUUUACUGGGCGUAAAGCGUGCGUAGGCGGCUUUUUAAGUCGGAUGUGAAAUCCCUGAGCUUAACUUAGGAAUUGCAUUCGAUACUGGGAAGCUAGAGUAUGGGAGAGGAUGGUAGAAUUCCAGGUGUAGCGGUGAAAUGCGUAGAGAUCGGGAGGAACAUCAGUGGCGAAGGCGGCCAUCUGGGACAACACUGACGCUGAGGCACGAAAGCGUGGGGAGCAAACAGGAUUAGAUACCCCUGUAGUCCCUGUCUCUUAUAC
rnacentral:rRNA from 1 species